GAUGAAGAACGCAGCGAAAUGCGAUAAGUAGUGUGAAUUGCAGAAUUCAGUGAAUCAUCGAAUCUUUGAACGCACAUUGCGCCCCUUGGUAUUCCAUGGGGCAUGCCUGUUCGAGCGUCAUCUGUACCUUCAAGCUUUGCUUGGUGUUGGGUGUUUGUCUCGCCUUUGCGUGUAGACUCGCCUUAAAAUAAUUGGCAGCCGGCGUAUUGAUUUCGGAGCGCAGUACAUCUCGCGCUUUGCACUCAUAACGACAGCGUCCAAAAGUACAUUUUACACUCUUGACCUCGGAUCAGGUAGGGAUACCCGCUGAACUUAAGCAUAUCAAUAAGCGGAGGA
rnacentral:misc_RNA from 1 species